GUUUAAGGGCAGUUCAAGAAAAACAGACUUGAAAGGACCUGGGAAAUUAGCAUGUCGUUCCAUUGUUCAAAAGUAAUACACAACAGCACUAAAUCAUCUGUAUGACAGGAGAUGCAAAAAAGUAACUUGUCAAUACUGUCAAGAAGAAUAUUUCACGAGAGUUACAGGCAUUGUGUAAAAACAAAGAAUCAACUUUCACAGGAAGCAACAUUUGACGACUUUCUUGGAAGUCAGCCAAUAAAGAGUUGGAAAGUAACUGUCCACUAACACUUGAAAUCCUGAAGAUAGUGGCCGACAGCCUUAAAAAGAAAAAAAGAAACACCAAGAGUGGUUUCCAGUAUUGCAAUUUUACUGUUCAACAGAAACCAUCAGACGAAUGCUGUCCAGUCCAUAUAUAGUGUAUUUAUGUUUAGAGGGCAUGU
rnacentral:lncRNA from 1 species